UACAGAGGGUGCGAGCGUUAAUCGGAAUUACUGGGCGUAAAGGGUGCGUAGGUGGCCAGGUAAGUUUGGUGUGAAAGCUCGGAGCUUAACUCCGAAAAGUCAUUGAAUACUAUCUGGCUGGAGGGUCGGAGGGGAGACUGGAAUUCUCGGUGUAGCAGUGAAAUGCGUAGAUAUCGAGAGGAACACCAGUGGCGAAGGCGAGUCUCUGGACGACUCCUGACACUGAGGCACGAAAGCUAGGGGAGCAAACAGG
rnacentral:rRNA from 1 species